rfam:Strongylocentrotus purpuratus Contig134413_fixed, whole genome shotgun sequence.
CAAACAGUCCUUUUCAGGACUACCACACCCCCAAAAAAAGAUUACU